rnacentral:rRNA from 1 species
UGCUUACACAUGCAGUCGAACGGUGAUGUCAGAGCUUGCUCUGGCGGAUCAGUGGCGAACGGGUGAGUAACACGUGAGUAACCUGCCCCCGACUCUGGGAUAACUGCUAGAAAUGGUAGCUAAUACCGGAUAUGACGAUUGGCCGCAUGGUCUGGUCGUGGAAAGAAUUUCGGUUGGGGAUGGACUCGCGGCCUAUCAGGUUGUUGGUGAGGUAAUGGCUCACCAAGCCUACGACGGGUAGCCGGCCUGAGAGGGUGACCGGCCACACUGGGACUGAGACACGGCCCAGACUCCUACGGGAGGCAGCAGUGGGGAAUAUUGCACAAUGGGCGAAAGCCUGAUGCAGCAACGCCGCGUGAGGGAUGACGGCCUUCGGGUUGUAAACCUCUUUUAGUAGGGAAGAAGCGAAAGUGACGGUACCUGCAGAAAAAGCACCGGCUAACUACGUGCCAGCAGCCGCGGUAAUACGUAGGGUGCAAGCGUUGUCCGGAAUUAUUGGGCGUAAAGAGCUCGUAGGCGGUUUGUCGCGUCUGCUGUGAAAUCCCGAGGCUCAACCUCGGGUCUGCAGUGGGUACGGGCAGACUAGAGUGCGGUAGGGGAGAUUGGAAUUCCUGGUGUAGCGGUGGAAUGCGCAGAUAUCAGGAGGAACACCGAUGGCGAAGGCAGAUCUCUGGGCCGUAACUGACGCUGAGGAGCGAAAGCAUGGGGAGCGAACAGGAUUAGAUACCCUGGUAGUCCAUGCCGUAAACGUUGGGAACUAGAUGUGGGGACCAUUCCACGGUCUCCGUGUCGCAGCUAACGCAUUAAGUUCCCCGCCUGGGGAGUACGGCCGCAAGGCUAAAACUCAAAGGAAUUGACGGGGGCCCGCACAAGCGGCGGAGCAUGCGGAUUAAUUCGAUGCAACGCGAAGAACCUUACCAAGGCUUGACAUAUACCGGAAACAUGCAGAAAUGUGUGCCCCGCAAGGUCGGUAUACAGGUGGUGCAUGGUUGUCGUCAGCUCGUGUCGUGAGAUGUUGGGUUAAGUCCCGCAACGAGCGCAACCCUCGUUCUAUGUUGCCAGCACGUAAUGGUGGGAACUCAUAGGAGACUGCCGGGGUCAACUCGGAGGAAGGUGGGGAUGACGUCAAAUCAUCAUGCCCCUUAUGUCUUGGGCUUCACGCAUGCUACAAUGGCCGGUACAAAGGGCUGCGAUACCGUAAGGUGGAGCGAAUCCCAAAAAGCCGGUCUCAGUUCGGAUUGAGGUCUGCAACUCGACCUCAUGAAGUCGGAGUCGCUAGUAAUCGCAGAUCAGCAACGCUGCGGUGAAUACGUUCCCGGGCCUUGUACACACCGCCCGUCAAGUCAUGAAAGUCGGUAACACCCGAAGCCAGUGGCCUAACCGCAAGGGAGGAGCUUCGAAGG